rnacentral:lncRNA from 10 species
CAGAAUUCAGGUUUUCAGUAGCCCCUGCGGAGCUCAAGGGUGCUGAAGGCAUGAUGCACGCGCUAUGAAAGGAGACUGUUCGACACUCUUGCAGCCCCUGUCACAAUUGAAGCUGCGCUUCUUUAGUGCCUCAGUUGGAGAGCCACUGUCUUUUCCCAGUGCCCAGCCCAGGGUCUGGUGCUUGGUAUUUGUUGAAGGGAUAGAUUGCUGGACACGUGAGCCCAGGCAUCAUCAAAGCACAGCUGUGAGAAAGCCAGGUUGGGCUGUCAUGACCAGGCCUAAGACUGCAGUGACCUGCUGCCUGCUUCCCACAGGCGUACCAUUCAUCUCUCUCCCAGUGCCUGCUCUGAGUGAGUCGUCAUAAUGCAUGAAACCAUCUACGGCAGUGGGAACACGUCCCAGGGGUUAGUGGAAGGUGCAGAUCGAGGCGGACCCAAGUCCUUGGAAGGUUUCCUGACAGGGGGAGGGCACUGUGGCCGGGCUUUAAAGAAAGAGCAGGUUUUUGGUGGGGGAGAACAAUGUGAAUAAAAGCCCAGAAUAAGGACCCACACAGAUCCUGCCAAUGGAAGCAGGUGGGGCUCUGCCAUCCUCUGCUGCAGCAGGAUUCUCUGUGCACUCCACCCCGCCCCCCACCCCACUCUGCAGGAGCCCCAAGAGAAUCAAAGGAGAUUCAAAGGUGCAGGGAGACUGGAAUGCAAGAGUGGAUUUGUCAUUGAAGAUCCACUUGCUCACCGUGGGAGGGUCUGGAAGACACAUCUGUCUCCCCGACUGAGCAGCACGGUUUUGAGGGGCCCGGGCUCCUUGAAGAGCUCUGUGAUUGCUCUUCUCUGCAGGUCAGACUCGCAGUGGGAACUGUGGCCACUGAGCUGGGAAAUGUAAAUGCAGUGGGUGCCACUGAAUGCCAGGGUGCCAGGGGCCAAGUAGCAGCCCUCACCCACCAAAGGCAGGGCAGGCACAGCCACUGUAACGGACAGCAGACCCCAGACAGUGAGGGGGUCUGACUCACACAGAGCUGUGACAUGGGCUAGUUGAUCAUGGUGUUCCUACAAGGGCAAUAGAUAGAGAAGCUACUCAAUUCUUCCUGGAUACGUGCAUAAACAGAAACGUUCUAGGUCAAGUGAACAAAGGUCUAACCUGAAUCAUAAAAACAAGGGCCAUGCCCCUCAAUUUCUACACCUGAGCCAGUUGACAGACCCAGCACCCCUAGAGUGAAAGGAAGGCCGGGUCCCCUUGAGGAAGGACCCCAGCACCCUACCAACAUUUUAUACAAUUAGUAUUUCUCGGCUGGGCACAAUGACUCAUGUCUGGAAUCCCAGCUACUCAGGAGGCUAAGGUGGGAGGAUAGCUUGAGCCUGGGAGGUGGAGGUUGCAGUGAGCUGAGAUGAUGCCACCUGGGCAACAGAGCAAAACCUGGCCUCAAAAAAAAAAAAAAAAAUUCUCCCAGGGCUUUUUACCAGUGUAACUGUGCACUGAGGAAAAGGAAAUAAUCAGACCUUUUGUGGACCCUGCUGGACACUGGCUCUGAACUGACCCUGAUUCCAGGAGACCCAAAAUGUCACCAUGGUCCACUAGUCAGAGUCAGGGCUUAUGGAGGUCAGGUGAUCAAUGGAAUUUUAGGUCAGGUGCAUCUCACAGUGGGCCCAGCAGGUCCCUGAACCCAUCCUGUGGUUAUCUUCCCAAUUCCAGAUGCAAAAUUGGAAUAGUUUGACCCAGCAGCUGGCAGAAUCCCCAUACUGGUUUCUUGACCUGUGGAAUGAGGGCUAUUACGGUGGAAAAGGCCAAGUGGAGGCCACUAGAAUUGCCUCUACCUGGGAAAACAGUAAACUGAAAGGAAUACUGCAUUUCUGGAGGGACUGCCGAGAUGAGUGCCACCAUUAAAGGAUCCGAAGGAGGCACGGGUGGUGACUCCCACCAAACCCUCAUUGAUUCAACUUACCUAUUUGCCUGUGCAGAGACUAGAUGGGUCUUAGAAAAUGACAGUGGAUUAUCAUAAACUCAAGCAGGCGGUGACUCCUAUUGCAGCUGCUUUACCAGAAAGGGUUUCACUGCUUGAGCAAAUUAACACAUCUCCUUCAGGCAGCUACUCAUCUAGCAAGUGUUCUUGUCUGACAUCUAUUAGUGAAGACCACUGGGAGCGAGCGGUGUGCUUUCACUUGGCAAGGUCAAUGAUACACUCUCACAGCCCUACCUCAGGGACACAGCAACCCUCCCAUCUACAUCAUAAUUUAGUUCACAAGGAUCCGGGUUGCCUUUCCCUUCCACCAGGUAUCACACGAAUCCACACUGAUGACAUGAUGCUGACUGAACCUAGUGAGCAGGAAGUAGCAAAGCAGUAGACCUACUAGUCAGACAUUUGUGUGUCAGGGGGUGCGAAGGAAAUCCAACUAAAAUUCAGGGGACUUCUACCUCAAUGA